GACAGAGGGUGCAAGCGUUGUUCGGAAUUACUGGGCGUAAAGCGCAUGUAGGCGGUAUGGUGUGUCAGAUGUGAAAUCCCUCGGCUCAACCGAGGAAGUGCAUUUGAAACUGCCGUGCUAGAGUACAAGAGAGGAAGGUGGAAUUCCCAGUGUAGAGGUGAAAUUCGUAGAUAUUGGGAGGAACACCGGUGGCGAAGGCGGCCUUCUGGCUUGUCACUGACGCUGAGAUGCGAAAGCGUGGGGAGCAAACAGGAUUAGAUACCCCUGUA
rnacentral:rRNA from 1 species